rnacentral:rRNA from 1 species
GUCCACGCCGUAAACGAUGAAUACUAGGUGUAGGGGUUGUCAUGACCUCUGUGCCGCCGCUAACGCAUUAAGUAUUCCGCCUGGGGAGUACGGUCGCAAGAUUAAAACUCAAAGGAAUUGACGGGGCCCGCACAAGCAGCGGAGCAUGUGGUUUAAUUCGAAGCAACGCGAAGAACCUUACCUAGACUUGACAUCUCCUGCAUUACCCUUAAUCGGGGGAAUUCCUUCGGGAACAGGAAGACAGGUGGUGCAUGGUUGUCGU